CCCUACACCUACAUCUUUUCUCUCUCUUAGCUUACCCUCUCCUAUUCUCUUCUCUCUCUCUUUCCCUUCAUUAGGGUUCUGAUUAUGUUAUGAACCUACCUUCCAUGCUGCUUCAAUUUUUCUUUUCUUUUUUUUUUCUUUUGAAAAAACCUUUAUACACUGUCUUGUGGGGCAUCUUCACUCUUCAAUAUCAUGGUCCUCUUUGUAUUCUUCCACAGCUUUCUUGAACUGCAUCCAUAGAGUUCCUUUGCAUGCAUGCCAUGGCACUCUUGCUCCCACACCUUGUUUUGCGGUUCAAUAAAGCUGUGGGAAGAUACAGAUAGAUUUAAAGCAUUGACUUUUCAGAUCAUAAUAACUCUGUUAUGUCACCAGAAUUCUGAGAUGCAGUCAUAUGAGAGAAUAAACUCGUAAGAUUUGUGACGACGAUUCCUCAACAACUCGGCUUCUUCCCCCGGAAUUAAACCGAUCAGGUAUUGAUUCGAUCGAUCCAAAAUCAAGGUUCCAUAGAUGCGGAAUCACUAUGCACACUUUGUCUCCAGAUCUUACUCUAAUUAAUUUGUUCCAAGUCCGUUAUAUUUGUUUUCCUUAAAUUCAUGCCCCUAUUUAAUUUCCUCUUAAUUAAAUUUGUGGAGCAAUCCAAGGCUCAAACUUGAGGAAUUUGUGCAUCAACAUUAUUGAUUUGUGAUGAUGCAUCGCGUAGGCAUAGCCGUUUGAUUUGAAAAUAUUUUUCCUUUUAGUUUUGGUGUUGUAGCUAGCUCUAGUGCUGUCUCCGGUGAAUAUAAUAAUUAUAAUAAUUUGAGCUUGUAAGCUGCUUGUGCUUUUGUCUUGACCUCACUCGCUCGCUCACUCAGUCACUCAGUCACUCAGUCACUCAGUCACUCACUCACGCACCUUAUUAGCCUUUUUCUUUUUGUUUUGAAAUGGUGUAUUGUGUAGCCUCCAAUGCAGGCAGAAGUUAGAAGUUACAGUGUUGAGAUUUGUCCAUAGAACAUGUCUCACUCAAUUCAUUAAACCUUUGAUCUGUGCUUGUACUGUUUUAGUCGGCAAAGUCACAGAUGGUGGAGUAAUUUAAUACACAUAUUCCAGGCUGCAGAUUCAGCAUAAGCAGGAGUUAUAGUAUGCAUUAAUUAAUCAGGAUUAUUGUUACUUAUAUUAUAUUAGGAAGCUAGGAACAAUUAUACGGUUGUUAUCUUGACUAACAAAAAUAAAAGAGAAUAUAUAUAUAGAUAUAUCUAGAUUCAUCCUAGCUUGGUAGAUCAAGAUAUUCUUUUUAAAAAAAAUAUCUGCAAGUCACAACAAACAAUUUUUGUUUUGGGUGCACGGGACUAACUAGAAGGAACAUUUUCAGUUACAGAUUGUUAGACAAUGGACCACAGAGAGGUGACCAUACUGCCUUUAUCUCUCGUAUGGAACUUCCAACAACUUAUGAAUGCUUUAAAGCCAUUGGUUGGUGACCCUAGGAAGAGGUUAGAUGAAAGCUUUUAUGGAAAAUAUUAACCAUAGAAUUCUCAAAAAUUAACCUCCACCACUGUAUUAUGGUGAUUCUUGCUAUAGAACCAACAAGGCUACCUAAAACCAACGCAGGAGGAGAAGCUUGUGAAGGAAACUAGGGUUUUCCUUUUCCCAAUUAAGUCAGGGACAACCAUGCUGCGGGAAAUGGGAAUUUUAGACCACCUGCGAGUACUGUUUCUUUCUUUAUCUUGCUUCCCUGUGCCCAGAAUCAGUUCGAAUGAGAACCCCUUUUGUUUCUCCCGAAAGAUUUUGAAAUUAGAAACGGUAAAAGCAAUUUCAAGUUAUAGAUAAAGCAAUCGAUCUUGCAUGGCCUAGAAAAAGAAGUGGCCGAUCCCGAUAUUAAUAUCAAUUUUCCACAAGGGGUUAUUCCUUUUCCUUCAUUUUGUGUCUCUCACUGUUAAAUCCGACAAAAUGGUGAGCUUCAGCGCCAUCAACUUUACUAGGACUUUUAGUUGGUGCAUUCACGAGCACUAUGACUCCCUCCAAUAAACAACUCCGUUUUUUUUUUCCUUUUCCAAAAGACAUUGUAAAAGUCGUGUGAGCAUGCCACUUUAUUUGCAAAAUCUAUAUCCUAAUCCUACUGUAACCCACUAAUCUAACAUACAUAUUCUAACUUGUUCCUCA